rnacentral:lncRNA from 1 species
UUUAGUCAUGCAUUUGCUAAAUUAUUGCCAUGUAAGUUUAUUUAUUAUUGUACUAAUGUCAUUGUUAUAUUUUAAUCAUUAGCUCACACUUAAUUUAAAAGAUUUGGUUCACAGUUAAAUUAAAUUAAUUGUCCACACUUAAUAUAAAAAAAUGUAGUCACUUAAAAGUUCAAAUAUAUUAUUGCUAAAAGUUCAUAUUUAAAUAGUUAAAUAUACCCUAAUUUUAUUUUAAAAAAAUAAAAUAAAGUACACAUACAAAUAUAUUUAUGUUAAAAGUUCAUAGUUAAAUAGCCUAAAUUUAAUUUAAAAUGUCAAAAAUAGUAAAAAAAAAUAAUUAAAAUUAAUCAACAAAAUGGCAAAACAUAAUUUAUGGUCAAAUUUAAUCAAUAUAUUUACGGUAUAAUGGGCUAUAAUUAGGAGUAUUUACUUAAAAUCUUUGAAGUUUUACUUGGGUAUACGAAAUAAAGUUAUUUUUAAUUCAUCUAAAAUAGUUGUGGUCGUUCCUAAAAAAAUACUUACGGUCAUUUCACAUGAUUUUUUCACUGAUCUAAACUACACAAAAGCCCACAAAAGCCCAUAAUUUUUGCCAGAAAGAAAAAGACCCACGAUUCUUUUAGUCAUUGGAUUCCAGAACUCGAACUCAGACCGGCAAAUACAAAAUAAAAGCCCUAAUUCAAUUAUAUUUCACCCAUUCCGACCAUCCCAAUCCAGCGCCGCUUCGUCGUCUUCUUCUUCAUCUUCUUCUUAUUUUAUGCGUCAAGGAGAGAAAGUGAGCAACAACAGCAGAGAGAAUAUUAUUUCAACAGAGAAUAAGGAAGAUCUGGCAACCACCGCACUGAAGAAAUUGUUGCCGCCUCUCGCCGAAUUGACGAUUAAGGGGGCCGAUCUAACUGCUGGAGGAGAUUCUGUACCGAAAAGGUCUCGCUGGCGGUCGAGCCACCUUCGUUCAUGGUUUCACUGUGCUAUAGUUCUUUUUUCUUUUUUAUUUUUAUAAAAAUUUUGCCUUUCGUGUAAUAUAUGUGUGAUAAAUAUCAGUUGAAGUUGUUGAUGUUCAAUAUUAUGCAUAAUUAAGGAAAUAUUGUGGAGAUCAAGCAUCUUUUAAUCGAAAAAAUGAGAUCUGAUAUUUGAACAUAAUUGUUGAUUUGAAGAUGUUGAAUGAAUUUAUCCGUGUGUAUGCUGAAUUCUGCUUCUUCUUUUCUUAGAUCAAUCCCACGUUCAUCAAUCCACGUUUAUUUGAAC